ensembl:lncRNA
AGAAGCCAGGCUGCACAAUCCCUGUGGAGUCAAAGAAAUGGUUCUCCUCACCCAAGAGCUGCGGUGAAUUUUAAGUAGAGCUCACUCUUUCAACAAGUUGCCUAAUGAAAGAGUUGCCAUCUGGUGUAUUGCAAACAGUUUCAGAGAGUAAGAGGCCAUCUGUUAAUACUUUUUCAGGAAGCUUUUUAUAGAGCAGUGAAGUGGCAAAUCUCAAAAACACGUUGUAAUGACUUACAAGAUCUUGGGUAUGCAUACAAGUAAAGGCUGACAUUUUAUUCUUAUUAACAAUAUAGUUGUCAAACUGGGAAGAAAAGGAAGAGAAGAAAGAGAACUCGCAUGCAAAUGCACAUGCAUUUUAAAGGCUCUAUUUCAUGUAUUACCUUUCCUAUUUUUACAUAAAAUAUAAAGUAAGCUUCUGAAGCUUGGUUCGGUUUACACACAUGUACUUUAGUAAGACUGAUUGCUCAUUUGAGAAACAGUUUCCUUUAACUACUAAUAAAAGUCAAGUGGUCCCAGGAUUUUGCCUAAUAAUGCUGAAAAUGAAUGGCUUGUGUUACUGUAGCAUGCUAUUUUUACAGUUCCAGUUGUUAUUAUUCAUAAGAGGACAUCCUGCAGGACAUCUGACAUGUGAAAGGCGUCUAGUUCAGACCUUCUGCUUUGAGUGCCAGCAACAUCAGGUUCAAUAUCUGGUGUAUUCCU